rfam:Clostridium sulfidigenes strain 113A c24, whole genome shotgun sequence.
UAUUUCUUUAAAUCAGUCCAGAGAGGCUGGCAAGAAGAUAGAUAUAAUUACAGGGCACACUAUAUUUAUGUAUAUAACUUCUUGCGAAAGUAAGAAGUUUUUUUAUUU